rnacentral:tRNA from 1 species
AGCAUGAUAGUGUAAUUGGUAAACAUAAUAGCCUCAUGAGCUAUUGAUUCAUGUUCAAAUCGUGAUUGUGCAC